GGUUCAUCUAGCAUAUCCAUGUGAUGCUAGUUAAGUUUACUAAUGCAGCCGAAGCCCCGAGCAAAGGCAGCGUGGAGUGCUGGGAUGUCAAAGGCAACAAGAUGGCUGCAAUACUACGAGCCUAAAGUGAAAAAAAGGAGCCUGAGCAGGAGCAGAAGGCAGCAGUCCUCAUCAUUGCUGCUGAGGAG